CUUUGGAUGGUUCGCAACGAGUUUGUCUGACAUUAGUUUCUUCACUUAAAGACUUGGUUUGAGACAGAUAUGACAUUCAAAAUGUACCACUAUGGUGUGUUGAUUGACAAAAAGGCAGUGUCACACAUCACCUCAGAAGGCAAGGUCAACACUGUGAUUCAAGCCAUCAAUUUGGUUUCCUUUCUGGGAGCAAAAGAAGAAUUGAAUCAAACAUAGACCUGGGAAGACAUUUUCAAAAAGUUGGGGAAGUUUCUCAACUCCUCAGAGAUUGAACCUAAGAAAGCUUCUAAGCUCUCUUUCAUUCGUGAACAAAUGGCUCUCCUCUUCACCAAACCAACACCUAGAUAAUAUUCACCUUGUCUUCUUUCAACCGCACUCAUGUAGGAGAAUGUCAGAUGAGGACUAUGUAGAAUAUCCUAAAAGUCAAGAGACCUGGAGUUAGCUACGAAAAGAGAGAUGAGCUUUCGGAACCGAUAUCUGAGAAGAACAAACUUGGCCUCUCUUUCUUGAGAGAUUUUGUCAACUUUCUCAUCGAGUGGCAAAACAGUAAAUCACCUGGCCUCAGAGGCCUUCCUAGCAACAAAGCCGACGUGCCUUGCUGCAGCAGAUCUGGCAGAGUAUCUUCUCCUAGAUGAAGACUUCUCCUAUGUACUCCUCAGCAUGUUCCAGUCUGUUCACAUCGAAAGAAGGUUCAGAUGGUACAAACAACUAAGUGGAGGUAUCUACAACAUCAGCGUGAGACAGAUCCUGGAAGCAGAGAAAAAGAUUUGUAUUCUGAGUCUUAUCAAAUUCUCAGGUCUGACUACUUCAGAAAAUAAAGGUCUGCUGGAUGAAGACCUGGUAAAAGCUGAGCUCAUUUUUACUAACUGGCAACCAGAUGACCUCCAGGAACUAGCUUCCAAGUGAGAGAGUAAUGCUCUCUACUUUGUUGCCGGGUAUAUUGGUUUUUUUUGGAAAAAAAAGAUCAGCUGUACAUCAUACUAAGAGUUAAUGGUCAUCAGAGACACACCUACGGACUAAAUAACCUUCGAUAGGCCAACCAAUCAGCAUGUAGACCUGAAAGAGUUCAUCGACAUAAUGAGCAGAGGGGGGGUUGUCGACUCCAUCCGACCUUCUCUACCUCUCCUGUCUUUAUGCUCACUCCAUAUUCUCUUACAUCACAGUUACUCCUGAAGAGAAAAACCAGUUUACUUGGCACCCCAAAUCCUAGAGCUUCAUUUGUUGCCACAUUCCUUGACAGGAUGCAGGACAGUUUAAACUCUGACAUUAUCGCCGUUGUGGGAGUAAAGUGCAAGGAAGGAUACUCCUGGUCAGCUUUUCUUCAAAGAAUUACAUUCGCUUUGUUUAAUGUCAUGUGUAAAAAUUUCAGUGCUAAACUGAAUGAUGACAUCCGAUUUUUAACAAAACAGAGAAUGGCAGCUAAGAGUUCAGAAGCUAAUAGAAAAAAAGCUAAAUUUCAAUCGAAAUCACCUGACUUGUAGACUUGGACCAACUUUGUACUUUUUGAUUGUGCCUUUUCUUUUUUAUAUGUUUUUAAUGUUUAUUUUGAUUAAAGUACUAAUAACUACCACUUCUAUUA
rnacentral:lncRNA from 1 species